AAGAAGUAGAUUAGGAAAAUUAAAACUUCCAUAAAAAAACAGUAGACGUAGUAUUAGGAACACAUUACUCUCAAUAACUAAGAUUUACAUGUCACCUAAUACAAUUUCAUAUCAGAUUACACAACCUGUGAUGAAAAGGAGUGAUAAUAUAUAUUCAUAGGUCAUAUCAUCAUCAUAAUCAUAGUUACAAUCAUCAUAAUAAUGAGAGUAAAAGUGAGGUUGUCGUUUUGUGGUCACACGUGGUUGGCUUAAGGUUGGCAAAUGACAUGUGGUGAUAAGGGGGAAAAAACAGAACUUUAGAGGAAAGAAG
rnacentral:lncRNA from 1 species